rnacentral:rRNA from 1 species
AUUGAACGCUGGCGGCAGGCCUAACACAUGCAAGUCGAGCGGAUGAAGGGAGCUUGCUCCUGGAUUCAGCGGCGGACGGGUGAGUAAUGCCUAGGAAUCUGCCUGGUAGUGGGGGAUAACGUCCGGAAACGGGCGCUAAUACCGCAUACGUCCUGAGGGAGAAAGUGGGGGAUCUUCGGACCUCACGCUAUCAGAUGAGCCUAGGUCGGAUUAGCUAGUUGGUGGGGUAAAGGCCUACCAAGGCGACGAUCCGUAACUGGUCUGAGAGGAUGAUCAGUCACACUGGAACUGAGACACGGUCCAGACUCCUACGGGAGGCAGCAGUGGGGAAUAUUGGACAAUGGGCGAAAGCCUUAUCCAGCCAUGCCGCGUGUGUGAAAAAGGUCUUCGGAUUGUAAAGCACUUUAAGUUGGGAGGAAGGGCAGUAAGUUAAUACCUUGCUGUUUUGACGUUACCAACAGAAUAAGCACCGGCUAACUUCGUG